GCUGCAGUUAAAGCUCGUAGUUGGAUUUCGGGUGGGGCCUGCCGGUCCGCCGUUUCGGUGUGCACUGGCAGGGCCCACCUUGUUGCCGGGGACGGGCUCCUGGGCUUCACUGUCCGGGACUCGGAGUCGGCGCUGUUACUUUGAGUAAAUUAGAGUGUUCAAAGCAGGCCUACCCUCUGAAUACAUUAGCAUGGAAUAACACGAUAGGACUCUGGCCUAUCCUGUUGGUCUGUAGGACCGGAGUAAUGAUUAAAAGGGACAGUCGGGGGCAUUCGUAUUUCAUUGUCAGAGGUGAAAUUCUUGGUAGUUAUGAAAGACGAACUACUGCGAAAGCAUUUGCCAAGGAUGUUUUCAUUAAUCAAGAACCGAAAGUGUGAA
rnacentral:rRNA from 1 species